AGAAAAUGCAUCCAAUUCAACAAAAAAAUUGUUGGCAAGAAAUAAUCACUGCCAUCAGUUGACAUGAGUAUGAUAUCACUCUAAAAAUUUCAUUGCAUGUAGUGAGGAAUGUUAGAAAAUAAAUCACUUUCAACCACAACAUUUUUCCCCUCUGUUUUUUAAGGACACUUGGAGGAAGCACAUUCUGAAGAAAAUGCAUCUACUUUAACAAAGAAAAUUUGUGGCACAAAGAAACCCUCAUUGCCAUCAGUUCAAAACGUACACUCAGAGGAAGAACCUCCUGAAGAAGGGGCAGCCAUUUCUAAAAACAAAAUGGGUGGCAUUAAUAAAUCCUCAUUGCAAUCAAUUAAAAAAGGAAAAUCCAGAAGGCCCUGGUCAAAGACUGAGGGAGACAUUGUUGAAAGCCAUUUCAAAGACUUCCUGAAAGAAAUGAAGAUGCCUGGAAAAGUGCACUGUCAGAGAUGCAUAGAUGAAAAUCAGAUUCUAAGGGA